rnacentral:lncRNA from 1 species
CCCAAAACUAACAAACUGAUGGGAAAAGAAGGGGUUUGAAUUUCUCCAAGUCUGUCAGGCAGUUGCUCUUAUAUUUAUCAGGAGUGCUAAUUAAUUCCUCAAGGAGUUCUUAUCACUUCAGACCCUAGGGCUCAGCCCUGUCUUGGGUCUGGGAUGACACUGGAGUGGAGCAGUGCCCAUACUUCUGGCUUGUUGUUUGCUGGACUUGCAGGGAUCAGGGAGAGCUAGGAGGUGCCCUCUGUGCUAUGUCCAGUUAAGAGAAGCCUCUCUGUUAGCUGCUGCUCAUAAUACACACAUAUUCCUUCGUUAUUUUGCAUUUAAAAAGUGAAGACAGGGUAGUUCCUCUGCUUGCUAUAAGGGAGUGAUCGGAGAGUUCACCCUAAAAUACUUCUUCUGAGGAAGGGCUUUAAGGGACUAGUGACUUCCACAGGCAGCAGAGCUGACUGCCCUGUUCACCAGGUGAGAAACCAGAGAAGAAACUCAUCUGAAGAAAUUAUUAGUCACUUCGUUCCUGUGGCUUGCACUGUGGACCAUCGGUGGAAAUGGUAAUUUUAGCAUUGGUUUGGUCAGCAAACUAAGUGGAGAGGCAGCUGGAUUGGGGUGGAGGUGGGGUACAGUUCAGGCUGUGACCGCACUGUACCUCAGCUCCCUCUACUCAGACACUGUAGGCACUGGCAUUUGCUUUGGCUACUUUUCUUUGAGAGAAGGGAGACGUCUCUAUGGAUAGAGGAGGAGAAGGAAAUACUGAUGUGCAUGUGUUUUAUUCUUUUAAAGUCUGAAACUUAAAAAAUAUUUUACAGAGGAGUGAGUGUAGUCAUUCCUUAGUAUCCAUGGAGGAUUGGCUCCAGGACCCCCUGAGGAUUCUGAAAUCCAGAACAUACUUCAAUCCUUUAGGUAGAAAGGUAUAACUUUGCAUAUGACCUAUUCAUAUCUUCCCAUAUACUUUAAAUCACCUCUAAACGACUUGUAACACCUAAUGUAAUUCAAAUGUUACGUACACAGUUGUUUUACUGUAUUGUUUGGGAGUAAUGACUAGAAAAAGGUCUGUACAGGUUCAGUACACAAUUUUUCCUGAAUAUUUUUGAUCCGGGAUUGACUCCAUGGAUGUGGAACCCUUGGAUGUGGAGGGCGGACUGUACACGAACUUUUUUAUCCUGACCCACUUGAGGGUAAGUUGCGAUAGUUUUCUGCACAUUACCAUGCAAGUAUCAAAUAGGAAAUCGGCAUGAAUAUAGUUCCCUGUAAGAUCUUAAGGUCAAAGUUAGGCCUCAAGGAUUGUCCCAAUGUCUUCUGUAGGAAGAGGAUCCUAUACACUUGGUUAUCAUGUAUAUCUCUUUGGCUCAUUCGGUCUAG